CUUUCUGGUAACGUGUCUGACACAAAUCCUGACAUGCAAGUAUGCAACUGGAACUCCGACGACUGUGCCCUUUGGAGAUCACUCCACCUUGUCGUCUAUCUCCGGUGUGAUUCCGAUCACCAACUCUCAACCAGCGGGUUCCGUCGCCGUUGGGAACUGCCUCCACCACCAAAGCUCAUGGAUCUCUUCUCUGUGAAUGUCGUUUCCUUGCUUGCUUUGAGAAUGAACCACACCAAUUGUUCUUAUUGUGAAUCAUCUAUCACCAUUAGCAUAUGAAACAACCCCUAAGAACCUUCAGCUACAGACCGGACGAAUGACCUUUGCGUCUCCGGUGAAGCUUUUACUCAACGGUGAAAACGAUGCAGUUUCUCUGCAUCUCCGGUGGCUUGCUUCUAUGAUGAAGCUUACAAACUCCUCCCUGUCUUCGCUUCUACUUCAACCUUUGAUAAGUAUUCCUGCAACUUCUGGUAAUGAUUUGAUGUAAAUCUCAGAGCAAGUUACCCCACCUUGAGCCCUGAUUCUUCCAUAGAUUACACCACCUCGGACCUCACUGCUUCUGUUUUCUUCUUGAGAUAAAAAACUCAGAGAAAUUCAUGACUCUCUCUUAAGUUAUCACCAUUGAUAACCACUGUGAUAUCAAUGCUCAAGAGCCUCCAGCGUCCGACUCAUCUCUCUUGAUAAGUUGCAAACAGAACUAGCUUGUCUUCUCUCUACAGCUUGUCCGGCGAAGGCCUUCGCCACCUCCACUGUCCAAGACGUUUCCUUGUGUAAUCUCCUCCAGCAAACGUGUUGGUCACCAUCACCACAUACCUCCGUCGGUAUCCAUUGGCGACUCUGCCUCGUUUCCUUUUCCACAAUAGCUCCACUUUAUUUUACCAUCCUCCACAGCUCCACCUGAGCCUCAAAUCAUCUUCUGAUUCCAUUUAAUGUUUCUUCGGUGAUCAGUCGAAGUACUUCUGCUCCCAUGAUGAUUUCCGCUACUCAUGACGCAAGACCAACCUUCUCUCUUGCUUCCUGCAAUUUCAGAUUUCGAUGACGAACUCCACCUGGAACCAGAAUCAACACUCCACGACUUUUGAUUCUUCACGGUCACCUUAAACCUUGACUGCUAGACCUCAGCUUCCUCUCCUUUUUCGUCCUCUAGGAAAUUCUAUGGCUUCUCCUAUUACAAUCAUAUGUUUUGACAAUGGAGGAAGUUACAUCAAGGAUGAGGCUGAGAUAAAGUGGAUUUCGGGAGCAAAGCUUAAGAAUUCAGAUCUUUGGAAGGAAAUUCUAUGGCUUCUCCUAUUACAAUCAUAUGUUUUGACAAUGGAGGAAGUUACAUCAAGGAUGGGGCUGAGAUAAAGUGGAUUUCGGGAGCAAAGCUUAAGAAUUCAGAUCUUUGGAAGGUUAGAAAUUACAUCAAGUCUAUUUGGUGUGAUGAAGACGUUUUGGGUUAUCUAAUGCAAGUGAAUAAUAAGAAAUGUAAAAGUGUUCUACAUGUGGAGAUAAACAGUGACAUAGAUGAUACAGAUGGUGGCCAUCAACACUAACCUAUCCUACUAACUACUAGGAACUACUUUGUACUACUAUGUGUAAUAUGAACUACUAGGUACUACUGUGAACUACAUUGAAUUACCUUAAAAUACUUUGAAUUACUAUGUA